rnacentral:rRNA from 1 species
CGAAAGGAGUGCUAACUACCCGGUAUGGCGCAGCGGUCUUCGGAUCGCGGCGAGAAAGACCCCGCAAGGGUUGCCAGAGGACGAGCCUGCGGCCCAUCAGCUAGUUGGCGAGGUAACGGCUCACCAAGGCGAAGACGGGUAGCUGGUCUGAGAGGAUGAUCAGCCACACUGGAACUGAGACACGGUCCAGACUCCUACGGGAGGCAGCAGGUGGGGAAUAUUGCGCAAUGGGCGAAAGCCUGACGCAGCCACGCCGCGUGAGCGAUGAAGGCCUUCGGGUCGUAAAGCUCUGUGGGGAGAGAAGAAUAAAGCCUGUGAAGAGCAGGCCUUGACGGUAUCUCCUUAGCAAGCACCGGCUAACUCCGUG